CUUUAUUUUCCAUAUCGAAUUAGAAAUGAAACAACGGAGGAAAUUGAUUUUUCCGAGUAAAGAUUGUAAUUGCUUCUUGGUUGUCGGGGGUGAAGCAUCAAUGAUCGCUUGAGCUUUAUUCUCAUCCACCUCGAUGCCACGAUGAUGUACAAGGAAACAUAAGAAAUUGCCUGCCGAUACACUAAAGACGCAAUUGGCAGGAGUUUUUGGAAAUGUGCCCUAAAACCAAUCAUAUGAUGAUACUUUACGGACAUUUCACAUGUUAAACUAAUCUAGUUUAAUAUCAAGGGCAUAGAUUAUUGUUUUAAGCCAUCUCAUAUAAAUGUUAUAUGCUUAAACGAUAAGUCCAAGGAAUAUGUAUUUAGGAGAAUGUAAUUUAAACAAGUUAGAUUUAUGAGACCAUUCUCUUUCUUAUAUCCUAAACGUUCCUGAUCAUAGGAUUGCCAAUUGGGCAUUGACAGUCCGUUAAGAUCAGUACGUGCUAUGUCUUCUCUCAUGGAG
rnacentral:lncRNA from 1 species